CGGACAAAGGACAAGUGUCGGAGCUGUCAACUCAUCGCGUGAUCGGGUGACGACAACGAACAGCCGAGCGUGGUAAAGAGAUGGAGGACGACGAUGGGCCCAAGCAGAGAAGCUCGUGCGUGCACAGGGAAGAACUCACGGCCACCAGCAAGCAAAUCGACGCCAACGAGGGAGCUAGGACGCGGGCGUAGAACACAGAAGUGGGAGGUGCGGUCUGAGGACAAGCGUAGGACUUCGCGGUGAUCUGGGCGAUGGGGACCUGCUCUUCUUCCGCGACGCCACCGUUGAGCGUGUCCGUCACGGCUGCGGCCAUGGGGGAGGGACGCCGAGGGAGGAGCGCAGCAGGGAGCAAGGCGAGGCCGCGGCUGGGCGAGCUCCAUGGCGCGGAUAGAGAGGGACUCGGCGAGCUGGAGCUGGAGGUCGAGGGACGCCAUGGGGAAGCCGCGCGGGCACUUACUGGCGAGUGGCGACAUGGACAUACCAGGUAGGCGUGACACAAGGAAGGAAAGGCAGGGGCGAGCGCUAGGGAGGAGAGAGGCUGGGACACGUAUGAGCGCGGCACACAAGGAAGAUCUACUGCUGGGGAGGAGCGACCGAGCAGAGGAGGACCAGGGACGGGACACCGAGGGAGCUCGGCAUGGGCGCGGCUGGGGAAGACGGCGUGAGCUGGAGCAAGAUGCAGGGACACGGCCGAGUCCGCGCGGAGCUGCAAAACCGCGCCGGAUGGAUGGUAUGAUGGCCGGAGGACGAGCGCCAUGGGAGAUGGGGCGCUGGCCAGCAGAGCACCGGAAGAGAAAGGAGCAGG
rnacentral:misc_RNA from 1 species